AAAAAGCUGCUGUAAUUUAGCCAGCAGGCACGCCAACUUCUGAGUUACGAAGAAAUCGCUGAGAGAACGCUGCGGUCAGCCCAGUUCUAAAUUCAUGCAUUGAUUCUCUCUAGUUUACCUGUAAUGCCUGAGGCUCUUGUACCAUCUUCUGUCACUUCAAUCUUCGCUUUGUGGAUGACUUCUGAGAUAUAAAGACCUCCGUGCUCUAGCAAACAAAAGCAUUUCUCUUUUACCAAUGCAAAGCCAAACCAACUUUACUUCCUUUUUCAAAGAAGAAACUGCUCGGGAGAGAUUUCCUGUCACAUAGAUGCUGGAAGAUAACUAUCAGAGUGCUUGGUAAAAAUGUACUGAGACAGCUGGGUAUUGCUGUUUGACAAAAUGAAAUAAAGGCCUGUGGAAAAGAGAGUUUCUUCCAGAAAUUAUAAAACUGAGUUGAUGUCAGAUAUAAAUUUAGGACAUAUCCCCAAUGAAAUGGAGCCCAUCUGUUAAUGAAUCCAUGAGUUACAAUGAGGACUGAGUCAACAUUUUCACCUCUAUCUCUUCCAUCAUCAGAUAUGACUAAGAAGUCCUGUAUCCUUUUACAAAACUACCCUUACAAAAAAGAUCCAAGAAAUGGUACAUGAUGGAAUAUGGAGUCCUCAGUUCAACAUAGUGCAUAUAGCUCCAAAGAUCUUCCAAAAGUUUCCACUGAACUGCAACUUGUAAUAUCACAGAAGAGAGAAAACUAUACAUGUAGGGGAUUAUUGUAUUAGCUUACUUUAUUUUUAAGUUUAGGCACUUUUUCGUUUCUUUAUUCUGAUCCGGUCUACGGUUUAGACUGUGGCUCCUGAGCCCUCAAAGGUUGCAUAUGGCUCUUGGCCUGAAAAAGUUAUACAGGCAUAUUAAAGUAACAAGCUUACCUGAAAUGCCAUUGAAAUUAGCUUCAGUUUGGUCAAACAUGUCUGUAAUUCCUAAUGCAAGUAAAAUCAUCUUUAAGUCCAAGUGAUUUUGAAUUUUGAACCUGAAAAGAUGGUAGAUGGACACUGUAAACCUGCUAUGUUAGUUUUUCACAUUAACUCUAUAGGGGAAGGUGAUAUAUGGCUCUCUAGAGCUUAGUGAACUUCACCUGCCAAGAGCCUACUUAGCAUGGCUAAGAAUGAGAUAUGAUGGGAAUUGCAAUUCAGGAACAUCUCAAGAGCAUAUGAUCCAUCCCUACAUAUUAUAUAUUUACAAGAAUAAGUCAUAGGUGUGUUCUCUUUCUAGGGCUUAAAGCAUGCAUUUGUUUUUAUAACCAUUUCUGUAUAGUUUCUCCAAGGUCAUCUCCGUGGCUUUCUACACUUGAGAGUUUAGGUAACACAGGUUCAGUUGCUAUGGCUGUAUCCACUCCUCUCUCCAACCAUAUUUCUAAUCUCAUAUUCAUAGUCAUGGCAUUUUGUCUACAAUCAUGUUUGUAAUUUUUACGCGGACACAGCAAACAUGAGCAGAGAUCCAAAUACUGAAGCAACUGAAUGCACAUUGAUUCUUUACCUAGGGAGAAAGAUAUCCAUCCCUGUUCUUCUUAAGGUGCUGGACCAUAGAGAGAAGGUUUGAGCUGAGAAGUAAGUCUCAAUCCUGGCUAGAGAGGUUCUCCUGUCGGUUGGAAGCACCACAAACAUGCUCACCAUCUCCUCCAGAUAAGAGCCUGCAGAAUGGAGUGGUAUAGAAAUUUCAGUAAAUAAAAAUAAAUAAUACUGGUAGCAUUUUUCUGAUAUUGAAAGAGGGGUUUCUGCAUGAUCUAGGAAUCCUCAUUACAGUCCUAUAUAUUUAGUAGUAGCAUUUCCCCUAUUGCGGAUAUGAAAACUGAACUGAAAGAGAGUGAUGUAUCAAAGGCUGCCAACUGAAUUCACAGUAGAAGUAAGGUUAGAGUCAAGAACUUUCUGCUUUACAGCACAAUCUCUUAGACACUAUAUUACAUUAAUUUAGGUCUUGUAGUACAAAUCAUAAAUGUUGCAGAUAAACAUCUCUGAAUUUAAUAAGUAAAAUACAUCAGGCCACCCUUUAAAUGCUAAUCUGGGCUAAGCAGGAUUUUAGAUAGGUUUCCACCUCUACAGAAGGUUUAGGGUUAGGAUGACAAUCAGAACACACAUCAGAACACACUUAUAAUUCCAACAUAUAACUCUGUGUUCCACGUUGUUCGAAGCCUGCAGAAAGCAUUGUCUUGGAAGCUAUAUUUGGUGCUCCUUGUAUCAGUGCUUAGACAAUCUGUAAAAAUAUAUCAGUUUCACCAGUGUUCUAAUAGUUAACUGGUUUUAUCAUCCAUUUAAUAUUUUUGUGUUGUAUUUUAAAAUGUAAUUAGCCACCCUGAGUGCUUAUUUGAGCAGAAUGGUGAGAAUCAAUUAGCGUUUAACUGAAAAGUUGUUAAAUGGCAAUUGGCAAGAGAAGACUGGAGGCUACACAAAAAACUUUGAUGGGCAGGGCUGUGGGUUGUGUACUAAUGAAAAGGAAAAACACUCUGCUACUCUCCACUUUUUCUUACUUAACAGUUUAGGACUGUUUGGCUGGCUGAGCUUGACAUGCUCUAGUUGCUUUAUUGGUGAAGAGUAGGCUCCCUUCACAAGUGCAGAGAACUCUAGCGUAGAAGUAAUUUCUUUCUUUCACUACUGCCUAUUCCCUGAGAUUCCUUGUUUAUUUGUCUUUAAGUUUGUCUGAUUUAUAACAUGCCUUUCUUUCAGGAGUCUGAGGCAGUGAACACAAUGCUCCCUCUCCUGUUAUUCCCCACAACACCCACCCUAUAACAUCAGUUGGGCUGAGAGACAGUGAGUGGCCCAAAGUCACCAGAGAACCUGGGUCUUCCUGGUGCCUUAAUAUCAUGCUGACUCUCUUUCUUCCAGCUUCUCUCUGUCACGUGCAUGGAUGGAUGGAAAUUUCUCUGUAUAGAAGAAGGGCAUUUUUCAUAGUCGGGGAGUUCUGCCAUUCCUGAUCUCCUUACCAUAAUUGACUUCAGCUCUGAGAUACAUGGCAGGCACUUUUAAGCUGAUGCCUUCUGCAGUG